GUUCAACCUAAACAGUGCACGUGGAAUACAGAGAUGCCCUAAAUAUAUAUAGAGAGAAUACGGACAUUCCUUCAAUAUGCACAAAUAAAUAUGAAAGUGUAAAUGCCUAUGCUCUAGAAGGGGUUUAAAACGCAAAAGAAAGACAAAAACCUGUUUAUCGAAAGAAUUUAACAGCUCGAUCCCCCUCUGAACAUCCCCCAGCUGCUCCCAAUCCCUCCCAGAAAUCAGCUGCUCCCACCGCGUUAAUCAGCGCCCUUCGCAGCAACUUUUCAAUCAGGUUUAACUCUCUGCACCUGGGCAGAGCAGAAUUUAUCCUUCCCGGGCGGGCCUUCCACACCUGCCGCGGCUUUUUCUCCUGCUGUACCUGGGUGUGCCCGGGUGUGUCCCCGGCGGGACGAGCGGAGGCGCCGAGCCCGGAGCGAGCGGGCACCGAACACCGGACACGGGCACCGAGGUCUGUUCCUGGGAAGGCUUUUUCCCCUGGGAAGGUUCCAGCAGCACCUUGGUGCCUUCAGGGUUCCUGUUCAGGUGAGGAAAUCUGCUCACCCUCCAUGUAUUCCCUGGGUUCAGCCUUUCUGUGGGACAUUGCUCCC
rnacentral:lncRNA from 1 species